GGGGUUGUGGCUCAGUGGUAGAGCAUUUGCCUUGAGUGUAUGAGGCACUGGGUUCAAUUCUCAGCACCA
rnacentral:tRNA from 1 species